rnacentral:snRNA from 1 species
GGAUGUGAGUGAUCUGGCUGUGACAUCUGUCACUCUGCUGAUGCAGCUCAUAAGACUGGCUGGGCGGGAGUCCCCUUCCUCGCUCACUGCCUGAAGGUGUGGGCUCCUUCCCUGAUAGAGGACCACCAUUUCCGUGGUCAAGGGUAUAUGAGGGGCUGCGCUCCCCUGCCAGAACCUCCAGACAGGCUCUCAGGAGUGCAAAGAAAAAAUUAGGAAAAUAGGACCAUAAUGAUCAAGAGGAAAUCUUUCAUUUUUU